rnacentral:rRNA from 1 species
GGUUGAUCCUGCCAGUAGUCAUAUGCUUGUCACAAAGAUUAAGCCAUGCAUGUCUAAGUAUAAACAAAUUUAUAUAGUGAAACUGCGAAUGGCUCAUUAAAUCAGUUAUAGUUUACUUGAUCGUAAAGAAAAAACCUAAAAGGAUAACCGUAGGAAAACUAGGGCUAAUACAUGAGAAAAAGGGUGACUAUCUUACGAUGGAAACCUUGUAUUUAUUAGAUAAGAAAAACUAGAAUAUUAUAAAAAAGAUGAAUCAUAAUAACUUUAAACUAAUCGACUUGAAAAGGUCGAU